rnacentral:rRNA from 1 species
UACGAAGGGUGCAAACGUUAUUCGGAAUCACUGGGCGUAGAGGGUGCGUAGACGGUAUGUUAAGUUCGUUGUUAAAGGCUCUGGCCUAACCGGAGUAUUGCAAUGAAAACUGGCGUGCUAGAGGGUGAGAGAGAGAAGUGGAAUUCCUGGAGUAGCGGUAAAAUGCGUGGAUCUCAGGAGGAACACCAAUGGCGAAGGCAGCUUCUUGGCUCAUUCCUGACGUUGAGGCACGAAAGCGUGGGGAGCAAACAGG